rnacentral:rRNA from 1 species
AUGCAGUCGAGCGCGGGAAGCAAGCAGAUCUCCUUCGGGAGUGACGCUUGUGGAACGAGCGGCGGACGGGUGAGUAACACGUGGGCAACCUACCUGUAAGACUGGGAUAACUCCGGGAAACCGGGGCUAAUACCGGAUGAAACAAAGCGUCGCAUGACGCAAUGUUAAAAGGCGGCAUAUGCUGUCACUUACAGAUGGGCCCGCGGCGCAUUAGCUAGUUGGUGAGGUAAAGGCUCACCAAGGCAACGAUGCGUAGCCGACCUGAGAGGGUGAUCGGCCACACUGGGACUGAGACACGGCCCAGACUCCUACGGGAGGCAGCAGUAGGGAAUCUUCCGCAAUGGACGAAAGUCUGACGGAGCAACGCCGCGUGAGUGAUGAAGGUUUUCGGAUCGUAAAACUCUGUUGUUAGGGAAGAACAAGUGCCAUUCGAAUAGGUUGGCACCUUGACGGUACCUAACCAGAAAGCCCCGGCUAACUACGUGCCAGCAGCCGCGGUAAUACGUAGGGGGCAAGCGUUGUCCGGAAUUAUUGGGCGUAAAGCGCGCGCAGGCGGUCCUUUAAGUCUGAUGUGAAAGCCCACGGCUUAACCGUGGAGGGCCAUUGGAAACUGGAGGACUUGAGUACAGAAGAGGAGAGUGGAAUUCCACGUGUAGCGGUGAAAUGCGUAGAGAUGUGGAGGAACACCAGUGGCGAAGGCGACUCUCUGGUCUGUAACUGACGCUGAGGUGCGAA